rnacentral:rRNA from 1 species
UAAAGAAUUUCGGUCAUCGAUGGGGAUGCGUUCCAUUAGCUUGUUGGCGGGGUAACGGCCCACCAAGGCAUCGAUGGAUAGGGGUUCUGAGAGGAAGGUCCCCCACAUUGGAACUGAGACACGGUCCAAACUCCUACGGGAGGCAGCAGUGAGGAAUAUUGGUCAAUGGGCGCUAGCCUGAACCAGCCAAGUAGCGUGAAGGAUGACUGCCCUAUGGGUUGUAAACUUCUUUUAUAUGGGAAUAAAGUGCAGUAUGUAUACUGCUUUGCAUGUACCUUAUGAAUAAGGAUCGGCUAACUCCGUGCCAGCAGCCGCGGUAAUACGGAGGAUCCGAGCGUUAUCCGGAUUUAUUGGGUUUAAAGGGAGCGUAGGCGGGUUGUUAAGUCAGUUGUGAAAGUUUGCGGCUCAACCGUAAAAUUGCAGUUGAUACUGGCAUCCUUGAGUACAGUAGAGGUAGGCGGAAUUCGUGGUGUAGCGGUGAAAUGCUUAGAUAUCACGAAGAACUCCGAUUGCGAAGGCAGCCUGCUGGACUGUAACUGACGCUGAUGCUCGAAAGUGUGGGUAUCAAACAGGAUUAGAUACCCUGGUAGUCCACACAGUAAAC